GCCAGCCCGAAAGCCAUUUCCAGGACAUAAACAACUGGGCAUCCGGGUCCGCGUCAUAGACAGCGUUCCAGUUCUCUUCCAGCCGGGCAAAAUCCGGCAACGUGUUUAUGACGUCAAUGUGCACGGUGUGACCCUCGCUUAUGAUGCUCAAUGUCUCAGAAUCAGCGCCUCAACUUUCCCAUGCAAAUCUUGUUCAACGCCGUAAAAGCCCUUCCUCAUCGCUCGCGAAACGCGCGUGUCAUGCUGUCGUGGAUCGGCUUCACGAUGUACUGGAAGAAAGUCCGUUCCGAUGUCUUGACG
rnacentral:misc_RNA from 1 species